rnacentral:rRNA from 1 species
GUGGGGAAUCUUGCGCAAUGGGCGAAAGCCUGAUCCAGCCAUGCCGCGUGAGUGAUGAAGGCCCUAGGGUUGUAAAGCUCUUUCACCGAUGAAGAUAAUGACGGUAGUCGGAGAAGAAGCCCCGGCUAACUUCGUGCCAGCAGCCGCGGUAAUACGAAGGGGGCUAGCGUUGUUCGGAAUUACUGGGCGUAAAGCGCACGUAGGCGGAUAUUUAAGUCAGGGGUGAAAUCCCAGAGCUCAACUCUGGAACUGCCUUUGAUACUGGGUAUCUCGAGUAUGGAAGAGGUGAGUGGAAUUCCGAGUGUAGAGGUGAAAUUCGUAGAUAUUCGGAGGAACACCAGUGGCGAAGGCGGCUCACUGGUCCAUUACUGACGCUGAGGUGCGAAAGCGUGGGGAGCAAACAGGAUUAGAUACCCCAGUAGUCC